rnacentral:rRNA from 1 species
GAUGAACGCUGGCGGCGUGCCUAAUACAUGCAAGUCGAGCGAACGGACGAGAAGCUUGCUUCUCUGAUGUUAGCGGCGGACGGGUGAGUAACACGUGGAUAACCUACCUAUAAGACUGGGAUAACUUCGGGAAACCGGAGCUAAUACCGGAUGAUAUUUUGAACCGCAUGGUUCAAAAGUGAAAGACGGUCUUGCUGUCACUUAUAGAUGGAUCCGCGCUGCAUUAGCUAGUUGGUAAGGUAACGGCUUACCAAGGCAACGAUGCAUAGCCGACCUGAGAGGGUGAUCGGCCACACUGGAACUGAGACACGGUCCAGACUCCUACGGGAGGCAGCAGUAGGGAAUAUUCCGCAAUGGGCGAAAGCCUGACGGAGCAACGCCGCGUGAGUGAUGAAGGUCUUCGGAUCGUAAAGCUCUGUUAUUAGGGAAGAACAUAUGUGUAAGUAACUGUGCACGUCUUGACGGUACCUAAUCAGAAAGCCACGGCUAACUACGUG